ACCCCGCCCGCUUCUCCCGCCGCCGGCUUUGCGUUCUCACCCCCUCCCUAGGCUCCUCGGUAAGAAACAGCGGAUAGCCGGCGUUGGUCGGACGCCGGGGAAAACCAGGUUCUGGGAUACCUGGAAUUAAGGAACACACCAGUUUGGGCUGCAUUUUCUACCUACUCAUUCCCUGGGUCUAGGACACUGGAGAUAGGAAUAGUCACUUGUUAUCAAACAGUAUUGUCAUGGAAAGAAAUAAAGUCUGAACAAAAUACUGUGGAAGGUAUUGAACUGAGUGUGAAACGUACUCAUCUGGCUGAUCCUGCUUUUGACUUUAUUUCCACUCUCAGAGUGUCUUCUUGUUACCCAAGAAGUACCUAAAUGUUGCUCUAACCUCUUAAGCUGCCUCUCACCAACGUGCCCAUGGACAUCAGUGAUUUAUGUUAAGACAGCAGCUAAAAGUGCUUUCAUUCACAAUAGUCCAUGUUUUCGUCGGGCCUCCAUUGGAAAAGGAAAUUGUUAAUGGAUUGACUGAUUUUCUGAACUUACUACUUAAACAGCAUGAAUGGACAUCAAAAUAAAAGGGUAGGGGCUUCCCUGGUGGCGCAGUGGUUAAGAGUCCGCCUGCCAAUGCAGGGGACACGGGUUUGGGACACGGGUUCGUGCCCCGGUCCGGGAAGAUCCCACAUGCCACGGAGCAGCUGGGCCCGUGAGCCAUGGCCGCUGAGCCUGCGCGUCCGGAGCC